CAGUGGAAACCGCACUCAUCAGAUCAAGGCUAAUCUAGGUUGACGGACUGACCAGGCCUGAGCUUCGCUAAUGAAUCAUGCUGAAUACAUGUUGUGUGUGAAGAACAACUGAAGCAUGACCAGCGCCACCUCCCAUCAAAUUCCCUCUCUCACUCACCUUUUCCCCUCCGACCCCGGCAGUACGCCUACCGGGGUCAGCCAGAGAGGAGAUUAUAGGAAUGUAAUGUCACCACAGAGAUGCGAAUAGAAUGAGAGAAAGAUGUCUACCGAGGACACUCAGCAUAGUGACAAAUCUCUGACACAGAGGAAGUGAGGCAAACCCAGUCUGUGCUUUGCUGCGUAAACUUGAGUUUAAUUGGUUAGGCAAUGUGAUGUGAGCGUGUAUGUAUGAUUUGUGUAUGCAAGGGUGACGCUGUUUCACAAAUGAGGAAAUUGAAUGUGAAUAUCUUUAUGUAGCUGCCAGACAGAACAGAGCAGAAAGAGAAGAACAGACAAUUAAAGUAACGCCAGGAGGCAGGAGACUGAAUAUUGAAGUGCAAGCUAUCCUGUCCUGGAAAAGGUGUGUGGGUGCUCACUGGGCCGUGACGGACUGCAGAGCCAGAGAGCUAGCCUAGUUCUCACACUGCUUUCAGCAGACAAGGUGAGCACAGAGGUGGGAAGAUCACAGCAAAGCGAAGGCAAGAUCUUAUCUCCCUGUGCUGGCUUAAUCUGGGACAAUCAUUAGAGGUGGGGACACCUGAAAAAACCUCUUACCUCACUACCGCUCAAACCAACCUGACCUCAAGAGCUGCAUUAUCUCUAUAAACCAGAACUUUCCUCAGAAACCAAGCAUCACAAGCUCUGUGUGGGGGCUUGAUGAGCUCAACCUCCUCAUGCUGCAGAGAAUCAUUUGUGAAGUAUAUUUUGAAAUGUGCAGCAGUCACACAAUUGGAUCUAAAGCUUUCUUCUGUCUACGUGAAUUCACACAUCUCACUCUGAAUAUGAGCUGUAAAAUGAGAACUGCAGAUGACGGGAUUUAAACAUGGCUCCUGCGUUUGCUCACUCUAUUUGCUAAAGAGCAGAAGCUAUUGAGUGAGACGUGUCUGGAGAACAAUGGAUAUUUCUCUCACCCAUCUGCCUCUACUUCUGCUGACAUUUUCCCUCAGUUACAUAUCAUGUGCAGCCUUUGUUUUACUCUGUUCAUGAAGAUCACCUCAUUUAUAAACUGUAUUUGUGUCAGGUAGAUAAACCCAUUGGAAAUGAAAAAGCCUGCUUUGUUUACUGUAAUGUCACACCUAAACGUGUCACCAGCAUCUAUCAAAAUGAUGCAAGGCGAUAUGCUCACCACAACUGUAACCUGACACUUUGUUUAAUUCAGCCUGUCUACCAUGGCAGACGUGAUGUCCCACAGUGAGAGACUUGUGUUAAUUGAACCCUGUUGUUGACUGUUCGGCCAUGGAGCUUUCAGGUGUUGGGUUCUGUAUCAAGUUCAGGUAAUUACUGUUCCUCAGUCUGGCAGCCGCUGUGAACUUGUGUUUGUUGGUGUUUAAAUCUCUACAUGCUGUGUCACAGUACUCUGUUUUGUAUUUGUAGAAACACUUUUGGUACAGUCUGUAUUGUUGUCCAUGCAGCUCAGAUACUGUCAUCAUGUAAGCCCCAGAACACUUUCUUUUAACAAAGCGCCUUUCUGCACAACACACACAACAAUAAGCUAAUGGACCUAGAAAGAAGAAACAGGCUGAUUUGAAUUUGUGUGCCGAACCUUAUCUAUCCUUGUGUAUCAUGUGACCAGACCCAUCUCAA